AAAUGGCCUUCUUCGGUGACAAAAGUUUUAACAAUAAUGAGAUAUAAUGUAUAAGGUGUAAACAUAGAUCACUGAUAAUACAGGUAAGUUUUGGUCGAUUGAUUUUAAUCCAAAAUCCUGAAUAUAAUAAUAUUAACACUAGACUGUAAAUUUAAUUAUUUCUUUCUAUUGAUUCCAUCUGGAUGGAGGACACCCAGUGUUUUUAUCCAAAACCUCUCCCGA
rnacentral:lncRNA from 1 species